UGAACAUUCAAACAGAGCCCCAUUUUACCUACAUGGAAUGGCGGACAUUUUUACAGUUUUGACAGUGCAACAGAUGCUUAACUGAGCCAGCUUUCAUAUUUAGUACAAUCAUGCAUAUAACAAGCUUUAUCACCUCAUAUUAUUCAUAGAAAUACACUUAAAAUACAUAAAUGCAUGUUUUUUUCUUCAUUUUAUAUCUAUUUCUAUUGGGUAUUUUGACUUUUUCAGGUAGAAGAAUGUCUGCGACUAAGCCGAGGGCCACUUGAGGAUUGGGUUGUUGAUGGUAAAACAGGUAGAAGAAUGUCUGCGACUAAGCCGAGGGCCACUUGAGGAUUGGGUUGUUGAUGGUAAAACAGAUUGGAGACUACAUAAGACUUUGACAGAUGGCGGGAAACCCUCAUGAACUGGAUAGAAGCCGGUAGAAGAAUGUCUGCGACUAAGCCGAGGGCCACUUGAGGAUUGGGUUGUUGAUGGUAAAACAGGUAGAAGAAUGUCUGCGACUAAGCCGAGGGCCACUUGAGGAUUGGGUUGUUGAUGGUAAAACAGGUAGAAGAAUGUCUGCGACUAAGCCGAGGGCCACUUGAGGAUUGGGUUGUUGAUGGUAAAACAGGUAGAAGAAUGUCUGCGACUAAGCCGAGGGCCACUUGAGGAUUGGGUUGUUGAUGGUAAAACAGGUAGAAGAAUGUCUGCGACUAAGCCGAGGGCCACUUGAGGAUUGGGUUGUUGAUGGUAAAACAGGUAGAAGAAUGUCUGCGACUAAGCCGAGGGCCACUUGAGGAUUGGGUUGUUGAUGGUAAAACAGGUAGAAGAAUGUCUGCGACUAAGCCGAGGGCCACUUGAGGAUUGGGUUGUUGAUGGUAAAACAGGUAGAAGAAUGUCUGCGACUAAGCCGAGGGCCACUUGAGGAUUGGGUUGUUGAUGGUAAAACAGAUUGGAGACUACAUAAGACUUUGACAGAUGGCGGGAAACCCUCAUGAACUGGAUAGAAGCCGGUAAAUAGAUGGCCGUAAAACAGUGACUUUUGAUUCGUGGCGAGUUCUUUCUUACAUGUCGCGUGACCUAUCUUUUUUAUUGCUUAAAUCAAUUCGGCUUGGAAUGCUCUUCGAGAAAAGGUAUGGUUAUGAGGGUCUCUAUGCGCAAAAGUUUGACUUUAUUUUUCGUUAAAGUUAUUGCAUUUACAUUGAAUUUGUGUAGGAAAUCUUUUACUAUAUUGUAA